UUUUUUUUUUUUUUUUCAUUUGGUUGUUUUGCAAGCUUGGCAUUAUGGAAGAAAAAUAGAAUGUCAAUAAAUUCAACUUUGAACAUCUAUUCAAUGAGUUAUUUCCUAGUAGGAGGAAAAAAAAAUUGAACCAGGCUAGGCAGUCUAGAGGGAGAUGUGUAAAUGACUUGUAACUAAGAGGAUAUGACCCUCUGCAUAAUUCAUAAUCAUUAGUCUAAGUGACACUUCUGCAGUCACUCUGCCAGGGUGUUCUCAUAUGCUGUGGCUGAAACCCAAACAGUCCACUCAGCAGCAGUCCCUAUGUGAUCAGGUUUCUCUGAAAGACAACUCCCUGAAAGGCUAGAUUUGGGCUGCAGGUUUUUUUUUUUUUUUAAACAGAAGAUGCUGGCUCAGCUUCAUCAUGUGAGCAAUUUAAGGGUUGCUCAAGUGAUUCUUUAAAACUGCAUAAAAGCAAUUCUGCUGUGCCUGGGAGACAGUAUUGCUAUAAUGUUCUGUGCAUACAUCUGCAUGAUUUCUCAGAGCUAAUUCAAAUUUAAUGCAUUGGUAAUUCCUUUUCUGCCGAAGCCACCCAGCAGUAAUCUGAAGGUUACAGAAUGAUCUUCCAGCUCAAAUAACACUUUUAGACUAGCAUAAAUGGAGAGGCAGGAAUAUAAUGGGCAGAAUUAGACUUGCAAUGAUACAUUCCGCCCUCAUUACCACUCUGACUGAGGCUGACCAGAGUUUAGAGUGUUUUUAGAAGGAUAAUCAUAAUAGAGUUUUAAUAAAACUGAGAGUCAAGCUAUAGUGGUCUUUUAUCAGGGAUGGUGUAAUAACCAAAAUGACAGCUUAUGAACAACGUAGAAAAUAUUUCCCUAACAACUGGGAAGACCAUUCUCAGAGUAAAACUGAAGCUUUGAUUAAAGCAUUUAGAAGAACCAGCUCACAAAUCUAUAGGGCGCUGGAGAAUUGUCAUUUAGCGUGGAUGUCAUAAAAAUAUUGACAUCUAAUUAAAGCCCAUAUAAAUAAUAAAAAGGGUAAAUUAGGGCAUGUUUUUUAAAAGAUAAUAAACUUUAAAAUUUUAUAAAGUUAGAUUUUUAUAGAAAAAUUACAGUAUGCAGUUCUUACAGGCCACAGGCCCUGUUUCCUCAAUUAUUAACAUGUUACAUUACUAUGGUACAUUAAUUUGUCAUAAUGUAUGAACCAAUAUUAAUUCAUUAUUAUUAAUUAAAACCCACACUUUAGUCAUAUUUCCUUUUUUACCUUUUUUUUUUUUUUUUUUUUUUUUCUGUUCCAGGAGUUCUCUUGAGGAUAUCACAGGAUACUUAGUUGAUAUGUUGCCUUAGCCUCCUCUUGGUUAUUACAGCUUCUUAGACUCUAUUUUCAAUGACCUUAACAAUUUGGAGGAGUACUACUCGGUGUUGUGUAAAAUGUCCCUGAAUGGGGACUUCUGCAAUGUUUUCCAUCAUUAUACUAGGGUUAUAGGUUUUUAAAAGACUGCAGAGGGCAAGUUCCAUUCUUAUGCCAUGAUAUCAAGAAUACAUGCUAUUGACAUGACUUACCACGGUGGAUGUUAACCUUCAUCACCUAGCUCAGGUAGUGCUCGCCAGGUGUCUCUUUUCUCCCUCUUUCUAUGCUGUAUUCUUUGAAAAGAGGUUCCCAUGUACAGCCUACACUUAGGAAAUCAGGAGCUAUGAUUCACAUCCUUGAGAAUGAAUUAUCUACCCGAAUUAUUUAGAAUUUUUCUUCAUGGGUGAUUUCCAUUUAUUUUUUCAAUCAUUCAUUUAUAUCAACAUGGAUACAUGGAUGUUUAUAUUUUAGGUUAGAUCCAAUACUAUUUUGUGUUAUUGCUCAAAUUGUAACAAUUUUGGCUAUCUGGGAACUUUUUCAGUUGGCCUUUAUGUCCCUUUGACAUGACCUCAUUUUAAAGUUUUGGUCUUUUAGCAUUUUCUUACUUUCUGGCACUGCAAGAUGCUCCAACUCAUCCUUUAUAUUUUCUAUUCAAACACUAGCAUCAUCAAUUUCUCUAAGAAGCCUUGUUCUUUUUGAUGGAGAAGGGAAUUAGAAAAUAAGAUCUGGGUGCUAAAAUGCUGGUUACUAUUGUCGCUUCAAUGUCCUCUUAGCCCGAAGAGCAAGGAAAUAUGUGUACAUACUAACCCAUCUAUAUUUGCGUAUCUAUAAAUGUUUCUAUAUGUAAUCGCCUGUGUCUAUAUGAAGCUAAAUAUGAACAGAUACUGAGUUCUCCAAAUCUAAUACUCACAGCAUUGCAGAUCUCCCCCUAUCCCCCUGCCCCUGCUUAUCUGUAAUCUUCCAGUCCAGUAGUAAGAAACGGCUAAUUUGGGAGUGUUUUCACCCCAACUUUUGUGAUACUGAUGACAGAGUUAGUACAGCAAAGUCUUUCCUAUAUGAUCCUGGUGUAGAAUAUCUUUCUAAUUCCUACUUAACAGAAUGACAUUACCCAAAAUAUAAAGGCAAUGAACUCAUUGGUGAUUUCUUUCUUUUUUUUUUUUUUUUUUCUUUUUAGGGCUGUACCCACUGAAGUGAGUUCAUGCCAAGGACUGAAUAGGAAUCUUCUGAUCCUUAAAUGUUAUUCCCUCAAGGCUUAAAAGAGUGUGAAAGAGUUUGCACAGCAAUUUCUUGCUUUAUAGCAGUUAAACAAAAGCAUUUGGCUUAAAGCAUUGUCAACCUAGUAAACUUCCUAGGAAUAAAAUCACUAAAAGCUGUUCUUCCCUGAAACCAAGUAUUACUCAUUGGCAGAUGUUAUCUGUUAGUAAAAGGAUUGCAACCAGUAAAUGCUGGGGAUCAAGGUCCUACUUAAUACAAAAACCUGACAUCAUCUGUGUCACUUACAAAUCUGGUAUUAAUUAUUUGAUAAGCUUGGGGCUGAUUUAGUAACACAGACAUUUUGUUGUAUGAAUGGUGAAUGUCAAGGAUGACUUAUUGCUCUGAACACAUUUAAAAGGAAGACUAAUAUGAUUUCUUAUAGGAGAGACCCAAUGGCAGCUGCACCAGAGAGUCAAUUACACUGUUGUGUGUGCUUCACAGACUUAUUUUCCAGAACGAGAGAAAAGGAACAAGGCACAUGACUAUCUCCAUAGUGAUGAUGUUUUGGCUUCUCUGAUUUUUUUGGAUUAUAAAUCUAGAGGGGGAAAAAGCAAAGAGAAAAAGGAGAAUUCUUGCUUAGCAAUCUGAAAACAGGGUAUUUUCAUCUCCACAAAGAAUUCAUGAAAGCUCACAAAUAAGACUUUAGUAGAAUAUCAAGUUGAGAGGUCAAGGAGAGGGAUAUUGAUAUUAUUAUCAUUUAACACAUCUGAAUUUUCUAUCCCAGCAACCCUAUAAAGAGAAAUAUAAGAGAAGAAGUUGUAUAAUUUUUGUGUGUGUGUGUAAAUACAAGACAUACUGACUAUGGCUCAUCAUGGAAAAACAAAACAGAAC
rnacentral:lncRNA from 1 species